AGAGCGAACGCUGGCGGCAGGCCUAAAACAUGCAAGUCGAACGGAUCCUUCGGGAUUAGUGGCGGACGGGUGAGUAACACGUGGGAACGUGCCUUUUGGUUCGGAACAACUCAGGGAAACUUGAGCUAAUACCGGAUGUGCCCUUCGGGGGAAAGAUUUAUCGCCAUUAGAGCGGCCCGCGUCUGAUUAGCUUGUUGGUGAGGUAAUGGCUCACCAAGGCGACGAUCAGUAGCUGGUCUGAGAGGAUGAUCAGCCACACUGGGACUGAGACACGGCCCAGACUCCUACGGGAGGCAGCAGUUAGGAAUCUUGCGCAAUGGGGGAAACCCUGACGCAGCCAUGCCGCGUGAAUGAUGAAGGUCUUAGGAUUGUAAAGCCUUUUGUGGGGAAGAAUCGUACGGUUGAAUAUUCCGUGCGGAUGACGGUACCAAAGAAUAAGCACCGGCUAACUUCGCGCCAGCAGCCGC
rnacentral:rRNA from 1 species